rnacentral:misc_RNA from 1 species
CCUUCGGACCAAAAUUGUUGUAUGGCUUGUGUGGGGCGACGGGCACAACGUGAAUCCRURAUAGGCCAUGGCGGGUGUCUUUUUAAGCAUCCAAGCCAUACAACAAUCGGGGGGUUGGGAUUAUUCUAGCGGGUUUCGUUCUCUUCGUAUCGUGC